rnacentral:rRNA from 1 species
GCCGGCAGCUAUAUCACCCUGCAGCUCUCAAUUGGCAGCCCCAAUGAAGCUAAGCAGGGUUGACCUGGUCAGUACCUGGAUAUGAGACCUCCUGGGAAGCUAUAGUUGCUGCUGGAA